AGCGCCUUCUUCAUCCUCUCUCUCUCUCUCUCUAAAAGAGCAGCACACUUCUGCAGAAUCGUCACUCUUCGAUCACAACCGUUCCGUACUCCUCUACUAAACACUCGUUUCUCUCUGUGAGCUAGUCGGCUUCAACAAUGGCGACUCUAAUGCAGAAAAUCAAGGACAUCGAAGAUGAGACGGCCAGGACUCAAAAGAACAAGGCCACUGCCCAUCACUUGGGUUUACUGAAGGCUAAACUUGCAAAGUUAAGGAGAGACCUACAUGAACCCACAACAAAAGGUGGUGGUGGUGCUGGUGAAGGUUUUGACGUCACUAAAAGUGGAGAUGCAAGGGUUGGCUUGGUGGGUUUCCCUUCUGUUGGGAAAUCUACUCUACUGAAUAAACUGACUGGGACUUUUUCAGAGGUUGCUUCCUAUGAAUUCACUACCUUGACUUGCAUAGUUGCAUUCCAGGUGUGAUUGUCUAUCGAGGUGCAAAAAUUCAGCUGUUGGAUCUCCCUGGAAUUAUUGAGGGUGCAAAGGACGGUAAGGGUAGAGGAAGACAGGUAACGUGUGGAAAUUUAUCCCACAUUUAUUUUGAGAAGUCCAUAUAUGAUAAAUUUUGAUGCAAUUAUUUAUUAUAACCACUUCGGUUUAUGAUGUCUAUAAUCGCUGACCCCCUAUAAUCUUUUUAUCCCCCCAGUAAUGAAGUAAACGGGAAGAGAUGAGAGAAAUGAGGAAAACAGAAGUAUAGAUGAAGGGAGAAUGGAAAGAAUUAAAACUAAAAUCACUUAGAUGAAUUUAAUGCUUCCAUAUGAAAGAUCACUCACGUAAUUAUAUUCGGGAGCUAACUG